CGAAAUACCCUUUUCUCCUUCAAUCUUUCUUCCUCUUAACAAUUCGCUUAACCUUAAAUCUUUCUUCCCCUUUUCUCCUCUAAAAGUCUAAACGGCAAAACCAGAAAGGGCCGCCUUGCCAUUCAUCUCGCCUGUCACUAGUAGACGGUGGCUAGCAGCAAGCAACGAUUUUUCUUCUCUAAGGUCUGGGCAGCAAGAAAGGGCUAGCAGAUUUAGAUCAAUUAUUGAGAGGCGAAAAAGAUGGAUACAUGUAUGACAUAUCCAGAUUCAGUCACUAUUGAAGAAGAUGGUGAUAAUGGAAGCAAUAGUGAUAGCAUCGAGGAAGCAGGCCACACCAACCAGCAAUCUCAAUACCCUGACUCUUGUGCAAUUGGGAAAAAGAAGUUACCUCCAAAAGCUACAAUCAAUGUGCCUGGCAAGAAGAGAAGAUUAAGUUCAGAUGUUUGGGAUUACUUCGACAUUAUUCCCAAAAAGGAUUCAAAUGAAGAGUUGAAGUGCAAAUGCAAGAAAUGUGGGAAUGAAUAUUCUGGUGAGUAAAAGUGGGAUAGAUAAUUUGCAUCGACAUGUAAAGAGGUGUUUAGAAAUGACAACAAAGGAUAUUGGGUAGUAUCUAAUCACUUUUGACAAAGGUGCUCUAGCCACACGAAACGCACAAUUCAAUCAAGAUAAAUUUAGAAUUACUUGUGCAUGCCAUAGUAAGACAUGAACUGCCAUUUUUAUUUGUGGAGUAUGAGGGAAUUAAAAAUGUUCUUACAUAUUUGAAGCCCCAAAUUAAACGUAUCACUAGGAACACAGCCAAGUUAGACAUUAAGAAAUUGCAUGCAAGGGAAGUUAAUAGACUUGGUAGUGAAUUGCAUGGAUGUUCUAGUCGAACAUGUUUAACUUCUAAUGCAUGGACAUCUAUUGUUACUGAUGGAUACUUGAGUUUGACUUCACAUUUCAUUGAUAGCAAUUGGGUGCUACAGAAAUUUUUUUUAAAAUUUUUCUUAUAUGCCUCCUCCCCAUAAUGGUAUUGCCUUAGUUGAAAAAAUUUAUAGUUUGGCUAGUAGUUGGGGUAUUGAAAAGAAGUUAUUUGCCAUCACAUUAGACAAUACUUCUGCAAAUGAUUCUUGUGUUGCAAUACUUAAGAAUCAGCUUAAGUUGAAAAAUUCUUUGAUUUGUGAUGGUAUGUUGUUUCAUGUGCGAUGUUCUGUACAUAUUCUCAAUUUGAUUGCUCAAGAUGGUUUGAAAGAAAUUAAUAAAUUUGUAGAGUUAAUAAGAGAAUGUGUCAAAUAUGUCAAGGGUUCUCAAACAAGGAAGUUAAGGUUCACCGAAUGUGUAACACAGACUUUUGUUGAUUCCAAGAAAGCCUUAGUUCAAGAUGUUCCUACUAGGUGAAACUCCACAUAUAGGAUACUUUCCAGUGCACUUUAUUAUCAUCUUGCAUUUUGUCACUUAUAAUUAAGUGAUUCAAAUUUUCGGUGCUGUCCAUAUCUUGAAGAAUAAGGAAUUGUUCAAAAAAUUUGUAGCUUUCUUCAAGUUUUCUAUGAGGCAACCAAUGCUUUUUUGGGGUCCAAGUAUCCAACUAGUAACUUGUACUUUCCUCAAGUUUUUAAAAUUCAAUUGAAGCUGUCUAAGGAGUACAAUAGUUUAGAUAUUUCAUGAGGAGGAUUGCUUCCCAAAUGUUUGUGAAGUUUAACAAAUAUUGGUCCUAGUUCAAUCUCUUGUUGACAAUUGCUGUGGUAUUUGAUCCCCAUUAUAAAUUUCAAUUUAUUGAAUUUAGUUAUAACAAGUUGUAUGGUCCGGGGUCUAAUGAAUUAGUCAAGGUUAGGAAUGCACUUUUUGAUGUCUAUAAUAAGUAUGUGAAUACUUCCAACAUACCUGGUCCAUCAUCUUCAUGCUUCGAGGCAACAACGAAGUCUAUUCUUAUGGAGCUAAGGAACAAGAAGACAACCAAUCAUUUGAUGUUUUGGAGGUAUGAAAAUUAAAAUUUUGUGACUUUAUUGCGUUCUAAAAUUAUGAUUGUUACGAUGAUUUUUAACUAUUUGUUCUAUUAUCAUAUCUAAUAUAUCUCUGUUUGUAAUUUAUGUAGGAAUUUGAUCAAUUUGACACUUUUGAAUUUGCCUCUAGUGCACAAAAAAGUCAAUUGGAAUUGUAUUUAGAUGGGCUAAGAGCUAAACAAUCCUCACAUAUUAUUGUUCUUGAUUAGUGGAAAACUCAACAAUUUCGAAUUCUAGAUUUGAGUAAAUUGGCAAAGGACAUUCUAUGUGUUCCAGUAUCAACCGUUGCUUCUGAAUCUGCAUUUAGUUUUGGUGGUAGAAUUUUGGAUCAAUUUCAUAGUUCACUUUCACCACAAAUUGUUGAGGCUUUAGUUUGCACUAAGGACUGGUUGUUUGGAGAUAAAAGUGAAGGUAAUUACAGUUUUUUUUUUAUACAUAUUUUAGUGUUCUGGUUUAGUUACUCAUAUAUUUUUUCAUUCUUAUAAUACAGGAUCUCUAGAUAUGAAUUUGGAGGAUUUAACUCAAAAUAUCCUGUCUCUAAAUAUCAACAAGGAUGAGGUUGAUGCAAUUCAAAUUCUAAUGUUGUUAAUCUCUAGUCCAUGAUACUUGGUGCAUGUUGGAGUAGUUGCUGUGGCUUAUGAAUAUGCUCGUCGUGAUCAGAGCAGUUCAGCUAUAGCUGGAGGUUGCUUAGAGGACACACAGGUUUGGCAUGCUGCUGUUGUCGAUGAUGAGGGCAGAAGUAUUGGUUGGCCUUGGAGCACCACUUUUGUCGUCGUUUAAUAUUAUGUGAAUUGUAAUAUAUUGACUCUAAACUUGUAUUUGGUUGGCAGCCUUUUGUUUAGAUUGUUCUAAUUGAAUUUGUUUGACUUGUGUGAAUUUGGAGUUGUUAGAUUUGGAUAGAUAGUGUUUUACAUUAUUUCUA